rnacentral:rRNA from 1 species
UGCAGUCGAACGGCAGCACGGUUUUCGGACUGGUGGCGAGUGGCGAACGGGUGAGUAAUGUAUCGGAACGUACCAUUGAGUGGGGGAUAACUAUCCGAAAGGAUAGCUAAUACCGCAUAUUCUCUCCGGAGGAAAGCAGGGGACCGCAAGGCCUUGCGCUCAUUGAGCGGCCGAUAUCAGAUUAGCUAGUUGGUGGGGUAAAAGCUCACCAAGGCGACGAUCUGUAGCGGGUCUGAGAGGAUGAUCCGCCACACUGGAACUGAGACACGGUCCAGACUCCUACGGGAGGCAGCAGUGGGGAAUUUUGGACAAUGGGGGCAACCCUGAUCCAGCCAUGCCGCGUGAGUGAAGAAGGCCUUCGGGUUGUAAAGCUCUUUCGGCCGGGAAAAAAUCGCAUGGACUAAUACUCUGUGUGGAUGAUGGUACCGGAAUAAGAAGCACCGGCUAACUACGUGCCAGCAGCCGCGGUAAUACGUAGGGUGCGAGCGUUAAUCGGAAUUACUGGGCGUAAAGCGUGCGCAGGCGGUUUGUUAAGAUAGGCGUGAAAUCCCCGGGCUCAACCUGGGAACUGCGCUUAUGACUGGCAAGCUAGAGUACGGCAGAGGGGGGUGGAAUUCCACGUGUAGCAGUGAAAUGCGUAGAGAUGUGGAGGAACACCAAUGGCGAAGGCAGCCCCCUGGGUCGAUACUGACGCUCAUGCACGAAAGCGUGGGGAGCAAACAGGAUUAGAUACCCUGGUAGUCCACGCCCUAAACGAUGUCAACUAGGUGUUGGGUGGGUAAAACCAUUUAGUACCGGAGCUAACGCGUGAAGUGACCGC